rnacentral:rRNA from 1 species
UGGGGAAUUUUGCACAAUGAGCGAAAGCUUGAUGCAGCGACGCCGCGUGGAGGAUGACGGUCUUCGGAUUGUAAACUCCUGUUAAGUGGGAAGAAAUGUCGAUACCUAAUACGUAUCGAAGCUGAUUGUACCACUAGAGAAAGCACCGGCAAACUUCGUGCCAGCAGCCGCGGUAAUACGAAGGGUGCAAGCGUUAUUCGGAAUAACUGGGCGUAAAGAGCGUGAAGGCGGCUUUUUAAGUCAUCUGUUAAAUCACCCGGCUUAACCGGGUAUCUGCGGGUGAAACUGGAAAGCUAGAGUGUGGGAGAGAAAGGUAGAAUUCUCGGAGUAGCGGUGAAAUGCGUAGAUCUCGAGAGGAAUACCGGUUGCGAAGGCGGCCUUUUGGCCCACUACUGACGCUUAAGCGCGAAAGCGUGGGGAGCAAACAGG